UAUGCAAGUCGAACGAGCCUUCGGGCUAGUGGCGGACGGGUGAGUAACGCGUGAGAAUCUGCCCUCAGGAGGGGGAUAACGGCUGGAAACGGCCGCUAAUACCCCAUAUGCCGCGAGGUGAAAUGAGAAAUCGCCUGAGGAUGAGCUCGCGUCUGAUUAGCUAGUUGGUGGGGUAAGAGCCUACCAAGGCAUCGAUCAGUAGCUGGUCUGAGAGGAUGAUCAGCCACACUGGGACUGAGACACGGCCCAGACUCCUACGGGAGGCAGCAGUGGGGAAUUUUCCGCAAUGGGCGCAAGCCUGACGGAGCAACGCCGCGUGAGGGAUGAAGGCCUCUGGGCUGUAAACCUCUUUUCUCAAGGAAGAAGAACUGACGGUACUUGAGGAAUAAGCCACGGCUAAUUCCGUGCCAGCAGCCGCGGUAAUACGGGAGUGGCAAGCGUUAUCCGGAAUUAUUGGGCGUAAAGCGUCCGCAGGCGGUCUUGAAAGUCUGUUGUUAAAGCGUGGAGCUCAACUCCAUUUCAGCAAUGGAAACUAGAAGACUAGAGUGUGGUAGGGGCAGAGGGAAUUCCCGGUGUAGCGGUGAAAUGCGUAGAUAUCGGGAAGAACACCAGUGGCGAAGGCGCUCUGCUGGGCCAUAACUGACGCUCAUGGACGAAAGCCAGGGGAGCGAAAGGGAUUAGAUACCCCUGUAGUCCUGGCCGUAAACGAUGAACACUAGGUGUCGGGGGAAUCGACCCCCUCGGUGUCGUAGCCAACGCGUUAAGUGUUCCGCCUGGGGAGUACGCACGCAAGUGUGAAACUCAAAGGAAUUGACGGGGGCCCGCACAAGCGGUGGAGUAUGUGGUUUAAUUCGAUGCAACGCGAAGAACCUUACCAGGGUUUGACAUCCUGCGAAUCUUUUGGAAACAGAAGAGUGCCUUCGGGAGCGCAGAGACAGGUGGUGCAUGGCUGUCGUCAGCUCGUGUCGUGAGAUGUUGGGUUAAGUCCCGCAACGAGCGCAACCCACGUCUUUAGUUGCCAGCAUUGAGUUGGGCACUCUAGAGAGACCGCCGGUGAUAAACCGGAGGAAGGUGUGGAUGACGUCAAGUCAUCAUGCCCCUUACAUCCUGGGCUACACACGUACUACAAUGCUGCGGACAGAGGGCAGCAAACUCGCGAGAGCUAGCAAAUCCCAUAAACCGUGGCUCAGUUCAGAUCGUAGGCUGCAACUCGCCUACGUGAAGGAGGAAUCGCUAGUAAUCGCAGGUCAGCAUACUGCGGUGAAUACGUUCCCGGGCCUUGUACACACCGCCCGUCACACCAUGGAAGUUGGCCAUGCCCGAAGUCGUUACUCCAACCCUUGUGGAGGAGGACGCCGAAGGUGGGGCUGAUGACUGGGGUGAAGUCGAAACAAGGUA
rnacentral:rRNA from 1 species